rnacentral:rRNA from 1 species
GAUGAACGCUGGCGGCGUGCCUAAUACAUGCAAGUCGAGCGAAUGGAUUAAGAGCUUGCUCUUAUGAAGUUAGCGGCGGACGGGUGAGUAACACGUGGGUAACCUGCCCAUAAGACUGGGAUAACUCCGGGAAACCGGGGCUAAUACCGGAUAACAUUUUGAACCGCAAGGUUCGAAAUUGAAAGGCGGCUUCGGCUGUCACUUAUGGAUGGACCCGCGUCGCAUUAGCUAGUUGGUGAGGUAACGGCUCACCAAGGCAACGAUGGGUAGCCGACCUGAGAGGGUGAUCGGCCACACGGGGACUGAGACACGGCCCAGACUCCUACGGGAGGCAGCAGUAGGGAAUCUUCCGCAAUGGACGAAAGUCUGACGGAGCAACGCCGCGUGAGUGAUGAAGGCUUUCGGGUCGUAAAACUCUGUUGUUAGGGAAGAACAAGUGCUAGUUGAAUAAGCUGACACCUUGACGGUACCUAACCAGAAAGCCACGGCUAACUACGUGCCAGCCGCCGCGGUAA